rnacentral:rRNA from 1 species
GAUGAAUGCUGGCGGCAGGCCUAACACAUGCAAGUCGAACGAGUGGCGGACGGGUGAGUAAUGUCUGGGAAACUGCCUGAUGGAGGGGGAUAACUACUGGAAACGGUAGCUAAUACCGCAUACCAUCGGAUGUGCCCAGAGGGGAUUAGCUAGUAGGUGGGGUAACGGCUCACCUAGGGGACGAUCCCUAGCUGGUCUGAGAGGAUGACCUGCCACACUGGAAUGGAGACACGGUCAAGAGUCCGACGGGUGGCAGAAGUGGGGAAUAUUGCACAAUGGGCGCAAGUCUGAUGCAGGCAUGCCGCGUGUAUGAAGAAGGCCUUCGGGUUGUAAAGUACUUUCAGCGGGGAGGCGUUAGCCUAAGAAGAAGCACCGGCUAACUCCGUGCUAGCAGCCGCGGUAAUUC